rnacentral:rRNA from 1 species
GCAGAGCAUCCUACGGGAGGCAGCAGUGGGGAAUAUUGCACAAUUGGGCGCAAGCCUGAUGCAGCCAUGCCGCGUGUAUGAAGAAGGCCUUCGGGUUGUAAAGUACUUUCAGCAGUGAGGAAGGUGGAUAUGUUAAUAGCAUAUUCAUUUGACGUUAGCUGCAGAAGAAGCACCGGCUAACUCCGUGCCAGCAGCCGCGGUAAUACGGAGGGUGCGAGCGUUAAUCGGAAUUACUGGGCGUAAAGCGCAUGCAGGUGGUUUGUUAAGUCAGAUGUGAAAGCCCGGGGCUCAACCUCGGAAUUGCAUUUGAAACUGGCAAACUAGAGUACUGUAGAGGGGGUAGAAUUUCAGGUGUAGCGGUGAAAUGCGUAGAGAUCUGAAGGAAUACCGGUGGCGAAGGCGGCCCCCCUGGACAGAUACUGACACUCAGAUGCGAAAGCGUGGGGAGCAAACAGGAUUAGAUACCCUGGUAG